rnacentral:rRNA from 1 species
AGCCCAAACCAUUCGACUACGGUUGGAUGGGGUUGUGGGUCAGCAGAACGUACGAGGAAAUCUAGGAGAAGAGUUCUGGAAAGGACUUCCAAAGAGGGUAAGAGGCCCGUAUCCGAAAGGUUGAAUCGGCAAGCUGAUACCAGAGUACCACAGGACACGAGGAAUCCGGUGGGAAGCAGGAGGGACCACCCUCCAAGGCUAAAUACGAUCCAGUGACCGAUAGCGCAUAGUACCGUGAGGGAAAGGUGAAAAGAACCCCGGGAGGGGAGUGAAAUAGUACCUGAAACCGUAUGUCUACAAGCAGUCGAAGCGAAAGCGACGGCGUGCCUAUUGAAGAAUGAACCAACGAGUUAUCUGCACUAGCGAGGUUAAGUGGAAGACACGGAGCCGUAGCGAAAGCGAGUCUUAAGAGGGCGCAAGUUAGUGUAGGUAGACCCGAAACCGCAGUGAUCUACCCAUGUCCAGGUUGAAGCGCAGGUAAAAUUGCGUGGAGGACCGAACCGGUGAGCGUUGAAAAGCUUUCGGAUGAGAUGUGGGUAGGGGUGAAAUUCCAAUCGAACCCGGAGAUAGCUGGUUCUCCCCGAAAUAGCUUUAGGGCUAGCGUCGGAAAGAACCUUAGUGAAGGUAGAGCACUGAAUGUGUGAUGGCCCCAUCCCGGGGUACUGAAUACAAUCAAACUGCGAAUGUCAUUAAGGAUGUCCGGCAGUCAGACUGUGAGUGAUAAGGUCCAUGGUCAAGAGGGAAACAGCCCAGACCGCCAGUUAAGGUCCCAAAAUACAGGCUAAGUGGAAAAGGAUGUGGGGAUGCCCAGACAACUAGGAGGUUGGCUCAGAAGCAGCCAUCCUUUAAAGAGUGCGUAACAGCUCACUAGUCGAGUGACCCUGCGCCGAAAAUGUACCGGGGCUAAGCCUGAUACCGAAACUGCGGAUUGUAGGAAACUAUAGUGGUAGGGGAGCGUUGUAUACGAGCAGAAGCCGUACCGUGAGGAGCGGUGGAUUGUAUAGAAGUGAGAAUGCCGGUGUGAGUAGCGAGAUGUAGGUGAGAAUCCUACACACCGAAAGCCCAAGGAUUCCAGGGGAAGGUUCGUCCGCCCUGGGUAAGUCGGGACCUAACGCGAGGCCGAAAGGCGUAGUGGAUGGAAAGCAGGCGAAAGAUUCCUGCACCCGUAUAUGGAGCGAAGGAGUGACGGAGACGGAUAGUGUGACCCUCUUAAUGGAUUGAGGGCGAAGCGAAGCGGCUGGUUACCAGGCAAAUCCGGUAACCAAAAGGCUAGAGCGUGACAGGUAAGCGAAAUCUUAGGAAAGUAGCGAAGCACAUGAUGACGGCUUCCAGGAAAAGCUUCUGGCAAUGCAUAUGCGGCCCGUACCAAAACCGACACAGGUGGGCAGGGAGAGAAUCCCGAGGUGAGCGAGAGAACUGUUGCCAAGGAACUCGGCAAAAUGACUCCGUAAGUUAGCGAGAAGGAGUGCUUAAGCAAUUAAGCCGCAGUGAAGAGGCCCAAGCGACUGUUUAACUAAAACACAGCUCUCUGCGAAGUCGCAAGACGAAGUAUAGGGGGUGACACCUGCCCGGUGCUGGAAGGUUAAGAGGAUCUGUUAAGAGCGAUCUGAAGCAGUGAUCCGAAGCCCCAGUGAACGGCGGCCGUAACUAUAACGGUCCUAAGGUAGCGAAAUUCCUUGUCAGGUAAG